GAUGAACGCUGGCGGCGUGCCUAAUACAUGCAAGUCGAACGAAACUUCUUUAUCACCGAGUGCUUGCACUCACCGAUAAAGAGUUGAGUGGCGAACGGGUGAGUAACACGUGGGCAACCUGCCCAAAAGAGGGGGAUAACACUUGGAAACAGGUGCUAAUACCGCAUAACCAUAGUUACCGCAUGGUAACUAUGUAAAAGGUGGCUAUACUACCGCUUUUGGAUGGGCCCGCGGCGCAUUAGCUAGUUGGUAAGGUAAAGGCUUACCAAGGCAAUGAUGCGUAGCCGAAUUGAGAGGUUGAUCGGCCACAUUGGGACUGAGACACGGCCCAAACUCCUACGGGAGGCAGCAGUAGGGAAUCUUCCACAAUGGGCGAAAGCCUGAUGGAGCAACGCCGCGUGGGUGAAGAAGGUCUUCGGAUCGUAAAACCCUGUUGUUAGAGAAGAAAGUGCGUGAGAGUAACUGUUCACGUUUCGACGGUAUCUAACCAGAAAGCCACGGCUAACUACGUG
rnacentral:rRNA from 1 species